UAGUUUAUUUUUUUCUGGAUAAAACUUUUAUGAUCAAUGAUGAAUACAUUCUUUCUUUUUUCUUUUUUUUUUUUUGAGGAAGAUUAGCCCUCAGCUAACUACUGCCAGUCCUCCUCUUUUUGCUGAGGAAGCCUGGCUCUGAGCUACCUUCCGUGCCCAUCUUCCUCUAGUUUAUACGUGGGACGCCUACCACAGCAUGGCAUGCCAAGCAGUGCCAUGUCCGCACCCGGGAUCUGAACCAGCGAACCCGGGGCUGCAGAGAAGCGGAACGUGCGAACUUAACCGCUGCGUCACCGGGCCGGCCCCUGAAUACAUUCUUUCUUGCUCCAGAGUUAUAUGAAAAAUCAAUGGAUUAGUCAUGAUGCCUUUUUUUUGAGGAAGAUCAGCCCUGAGCUAAUAUCUGCCACCAAUCCUCCACUUUUUGCUGAGGAAGACUGGCCCUGAGCUAACAUCCA
rnacentral:lncRNA from 1 species